GACGAACGCUGGCGGCGUGCUUAACACAUGCAAGUCGAACGGUGAAGCUCCAGCUUGCUGGAGUGGAUCAGUGGCUAACGGGUGAGUAACACGUGAGCAACCUGCCCCUGACUCUGGAAUAAGCGCUGGAAACGGCGUCUAAUACUGGAUACGAGAAGGGCCCGCAUGGGCACUUUCUGGAAAGUUUUUCGGUUGGGGAUGGGCUCGCGGCCUAUCAGCUUGUUGGUGAGGUAAUGGCUCACCAAGGCGACGACGGGUAGCCGGCCUGAGAGGGCGACCGGCCACACUGGGACUGAGACACGGCCCAGACUCCUACGGGAGGCAGCAGUGGGGAAUAUUGCACAAUGGGCGAAAGCCUGAUGCAGCGACGCCGCGUGAGGGAUGACGGCCUUCGGGUUGUAAACCUCUUUCAGCAGGGAAGAAGCGAAAGUGACGGUACCUGCAGAAGAAGCACCGGCUAACUACGUG
rnacentral:rRNA from 1 species